rnacentral:lncRNA from 1 species
AGAAAAGAGCAUUAUUUCUCACCUUUCAGAACAUGACAGUAGAAAAGAAUGGUGUCUGGGAGGAAUUUUCCUCCAGGAUCUAGCACCAUAACUUGUGACUAUUCCAGAAUACUUGCUCUCUUUCAUCUCUGCACUUGGGCUGAAGAAACAGUCCAGAUGUAAAAAAGACGUGGCUAGUCUUUUGGCAGAGGGAAUAACAAGCAGUUGAAGACCCACAUAAUGGCCCUGAAGCCUCAGUUGGAUGUGGAACAUAUCACUGCCUCUCAUUGUUCUCUGUCCCUAAUAAGUCCUGCAAUGA